GCUUCGAACUUUGAAUGUUGCAAUUGUUUGUUUGAUUAUUAGUUUUGAGAUGAAUAAAUCUUUCUCUGUUUUUGAAAUUGCGAUAAUAUUUUUGACUUGAGGGUUGCACUAAUUUAGGGGGAGUCUUUCCGAUUUUAGCUAUGAAAAUUUCUGAAAUUCAAGAUGUGGAAAGAGUUACAUCCCUGCUGGGAGUGUGAAAACUACCACCACAUGGAGAAAAGAGCUACCACCCCGGUCGUCCGGUCAGUGUGUGUAGCUACCACAUGUUGAUUAAAGCAUCUAUGUAAGACAAAAGGAAAGUACCUUUCAAAAAGAGAAAAUGUAAAAAUAAUAUGCUCAAAGAGCUAUACAUCUUGUAGGUGAUAUAAGGUGGAAUGUUAAUAAAAGAUGCUCAAAGAGCCACUCCUGUCUCGAAUAUUGUGCAUAACUCAAUUUGAUCAUGUUAUGUUAAUUUCACAACUAUGAGAACUAUUUAUUCAUUCUCUUUAACAAAAUAUGAUGAUAAAAUGAUACAAUAAGUUCCUAGAUCUUGCAUGAUGUGUGGAAUUUUAUUUUAUAUGUAU
rnacentral:lncRNA from 1 species